GACGAACCGUGCGAACGUUAUUCGGAAUCAUUGGGCUUAAAGCGCGUGUAGGCGGCUUGAUAAGUCCGCUCUGAAAGCCCGGGGCUCAACCCCGGGAGGCGGGUGGAUACUGUCAAGCUCGAGUCCGGAAGAGGCGAGUGGAAUUCCUGGUGUAGCGGUGAAAUGCGCAGAUAUCAGGAGGAACACCAAUGGCGAAGGCAGCUCGCUGGGACGUGACUGACGCUGAGACGCGAAAGCGUGGGGAGCAAACAGG
rnacentral:rRNA from 1 species